UAAAUUCUCAUAAAACUGUAU
rnacentral:snRNA from 1 species